AUAAAUAAGAGCUAGCAACAUGUCUACUAUUUCACUUUUUUAAGAGUUUUUAAGCCAAUCAGAAAGCUCUAUUUCAAUCCCACUCGCACAAAGUGAGCGUUGAGCGAGUGAGAGCAAUUUUGUAGGGGUUUACCUUUCCAAAUCAUGCCUUUUUUAUUCAACGCACUUCCUCCCAAAAUCUCCAUCGCGUGACUCUUAUGUUUUUUGUUUUAUGUAAACCGAACCAAAAUCAAUUUGUAAUUUUAAACCAUGUACACUGAACCGAAACCAAUUAUAAUUUGAACUUUUCAAAAUCAUGUAAACCGAAAUAUUUUUUCUCCUUCCGACGAAGACUAAACCAUGUAAACAGAGACGACGAAACCUGCCGGAGAACAGAAAAACCCGGCGAAAAUGGGAAUUCGAUUUCGUCGUCCUCUGUUGAUCAUGACUUCACUUCUGCUUCCAGGGUCGCCAUCUGUGUUAAUCAUUAAAGACACAGAAGGAUCAACCUUGGGAGAGGCACAGAAAUGUUACCACUUCAGAUAAUGAUUCAGUCGCGGUACUUACAGAUUAGUUGCUUCUCUUAAUCUCUUGUAUCUCAUCCACAUAGAGAUUUUUCAAGACAUAUUUCGUGCGUGUACAA